CUACGGAGGGGGUUAGCGUUGUUCGGAAUUACUGGGCGUAAAGCGUACGUAGGCGGACUGGAAAGUUGGGGGUGAAAUCCCGGGGCUCAACCCCGGAACUGCCUCCAAAACUUCCAAUCUAGAGAUCGAGAGAGGUGAGUGGAAUUCCAAGUGUAGAGGUGAAAUUCGUAGAUAUUUGGAGGAACACCAGUGGCGAAGGCGGCUCACUGGCCCGGUACUGACGCUGAGGUGCGAAAGCGUGGGGAGCAAACAGGAUUAGAAACCCCAGUAGUCC
rnacentral:rRNA from 1 species